rnacentral:lncRNA from 1 species
GCCUGGGCGACUGAGCGAAACUCCGUCUCAAAAAAAAAAAAAGAAAAAAAGAAAAGAAAAGCGCAGGCGCGGGGUGUCUUGAGUCCCUCAAUCCCCAGAGGGAAGGAGCCCACCGUGGGGGACCGGCCAAAGCCCCACUCUUUGUCCGGCCCAGGGCAAAUCGGCCCCUCGGCAGCUCAGCCCGUCCAGCCCCUCCCGAGAGGACACAGGGGACCCGGAGUCCGCAGGGGCCAGCACUACCCUCCGCCCCGGGUCCCGCUCCCUACUCCCCGUCGCUCCGAGACGCUCCGACUCUCAGUCCGGAGGCUUUCUGUAUGAUUGCCUUCAAGUGCUGGGGAUUUUUUUCAUUGAAUGAAAGUAACAGGAAGUGUCCAUUUCAAAGUUUCCUUUGUAAGUAAAAAAUGUGAAUGACGGGUGCUGGGGCUGGGGUCGGGGCCCUGUAGGAACUGGGGAGUGGGGAGUGCUUUGGGAAGCUGAGGCCUGGAUGAUUCCUGGUCCCUUAGUCCCUUAGUCCGUUCAGGUGCGAAAACAAAACACCUUAAAGCGGAGGGGCUUACAAACAAGAGAUUUAUUUCUAUCUUUUUCCCCCCAGGCUGGAGUGCAAUGGCACGAUCUUGGCCCACUGCAGCCUCUUCCUCCCGGGUUCAAGGGAUUCUCCUGCCUCAGCCUCACGAGUAGCUGGGAUUACAAGCAUGCGCCACCAUGCCUGACUAAUUUUUUGUAUUUUUAGUAGAGAUGGGGUUUCACCAUGUUGGCCAGGCUAGUCUAGAACUCCUGACCUCAAGUCAUCACCCACCUCAGCCUCCCAAAAUGCUGGGAUUACAGGGGUGAGCCACUUCGCCUGGCUUAUUUCUCUGUCUCACAGUUCUGGAGGCUGGAAAGCCCAAGUUCAAGAUACCAGCAGAUUUGGUCCCUGGUGAGAGGUAUGGCUCGUAGAAGGUGCCAUCUUGCCACAUCCUCACCUCUGGGCCUCUUUGAUAAGGGCACCAAUCCCAUUCAUAAGGGUGCCACCCUCUCAUCAAAUCACCUUCCAAAGGCCCCCGCCUCCAAAGAUCAUCACCUUAAGGUGUAGGAUUUCAACAGAUGACCUUUAGUGGGGACACAAACAUUUGGAUAGUAGCAUGCCCUUAGGAGAUGCCUAAGAGGCCCCUUGACCUUGACCUACCCCUGGCACUGGGUGGAGCAAGCCCACAGCAGUACAUGGAGCCAAGUUAGACCUUGGUCCAGAGCUCCUCACUGGAGGACCCUGGUCUGCCGGGCCAUAGCGCCCCCAGCUGGAGUGGACCAGGAAGCCCUCCCCCUUCUCCGUGAGACCUGGAGGAAUGCAGAGUAUGUGAGCUUUGGGGUCAGGCCUCUGCCCUCUUUGUGGCUCAGUGUCCUCAACUGCAGAAUGACUGGUGGUGUUGUAAAACAGGUGACAUUGCUGUCAGGAUUCCAAAUGUCACCUGAGAAGCACCUGGAUUGGUUGGGUGGUUCAUGUUCAACUGAGCUUCCCCAUUCUGCUGCAGUCCUUGCUUUUGCCUUGCCUGGAGGGGUAGGGGAGCUGGGAGCAGGGCUGCCUCCUUUCUCUGGGCAGGAAUCCCAGGGCAUGGGAGCUUCAGGCCUUAGUGAAUACCUGGGCUGACUGCCUCAUCACAUAGACACUUUGUAGAUGGAGGCCCAGAGCAAGGCAGGGUCAGGUCCUAAGUCCCGGGGAAGGUCAGGAGAGCUGAGAAGCAGACAGGGGGUCCCAUCUAUUCCUGACGUGUUGGCUUUGCUGGAGAGGGGCAUUACCUACAGUCCUGCCCUAACUGCCCUCCACCCCCACCUCACGCUCAGGGCUGCGGCGGAACUGAGGCUUCUGGAGGGGACAGCUGGGGUCAGAACCUCUAGCCUCCUGUACCCAUCCAUCCCUCCUGCAUUGCAUGACCAGUCUUAGGACUAAUGACAGGAGGGCCAGGCUCUGGCACAGGAAUUUGAGGCUGUGACCGAAGGCCCGAGAUGAGUCACCCUGCCACCAGCCACAGGCAUUCAUAUUCUCUUCCUGUCCACCGGCAUUCAUUCUUGGCCAGCCACACUGGACAUCUGUCAUCCCCAGUGUGACCCAGAUGUGGGCAGGACAGGAGCAGGGCUGAGGACUCACCCCCUCUUCGUCACUGCAUGUAGACAGCAGCUGGGGGCCCUCCCCACUUUCCAGAGACAAAGAGAGGACCCAGCUGGGCAAGGGUUUCAUGGUCCAGCUCUCUCAGCCCCCCAUCCAGCCUCCAGUGGGACAGGCACAUGAUAUCAUGGUUGAGACUGCAAGCUUUGGCAUCAGACAGCCAGUGCACAAGACUCGCAAGCAUCAUUUCAUCUCUCAGAGCUUCACUUUUUAUAUCUGUACCAUGGGGGAGAAAACAGUUGUGUGAGGGGCAUUGUGAAGUUAAAUGUGAUGAACAGAAAGCACCCAGCCCAGUGCCUGGCAGUACUGCCCUUAUCCCUGAUCCCAUCUCUCUCUCUCUCUCUCUCAGUCCCUGUCUCUGUGUCUCCCACUCUCACUGCUACGCAUAGCCCCAUCUGCAACUGGGAUCCAGCUCUUGGCUGCCAGCACAGAGUUAUAAACAUUUCUUAUCUUGAACUCAGUGUUCAGGCCCCAGGGAGACUUCUUUGUAUCUCUUGAACAAUUCUCUCAAAAGAGAAGUUACUGCCUUGCCCAUGGUACAAAGAGUUGUGGCUGUGCCCUGCUCACAUCAGACACAGACACUACUUGGAAGAAUGGAGAGGACUGGUGGCUGAGGCACUUGGGAAGGAGGAAAAGUGAAUUCAUGUGUCAAAACAUCAUCAGAUGGCAUGGAUGCUUGCAUAAGGAAGUGCUAUUUUCCAGGAGUCGUAAAUGUUCAUUUCCUUGCGGUCUUCAAAUUUCAGUUCCCAGUACUUGUGAUAUGAUGUGGGACUGAUUGGCAACGUCUAUAAGUGAACGCUAAGGACCACUUU